CGGGCUGGGUCGGGGGCUCUGCCUCGGUGCUGCUGCCCUGGCUGCUGCGGCCGCUGCUACUGGUGGAUGGAGCCUUGAUGAUGAUGAUGCAUGCAGAAAAGAAAUGAAAUUAGCGCAUGAAACCUGCGAUUUCAGAGACAGAACUGCUUCGAAUGAGACAUGUUUACAAGAGGGAGCUGAUUCAUAGGUAAGCAGGGUCCUGUAGAUGGACAGGUAGUUGGUAUUAGGCAAAUGACACACACUAGGAGAUGUAGGCACAGGAAGUUGGGGGGAAGCUAGAUCCAAACAGCAAAACACCUUGGAGGGGUGAAGUUCUUUGCCAACUUAACUCCAGGCUCCUACAUCCAAAUGCCACAUCCACUUGGAGGUCUCACUGGCAUCUCAAACUCAGCAGGUUCAAAUAUGACCUCCUGAUCUCCUACCAUAGUCUCCUCAAGCUGCUAACCCAGUCCUACCUCAGGACUUUUGCACUGGCUGUUCCUGCUUCCUGGAAUGCCCUACUUCCAGAUAUCCCCAUGGUUCCCUGCUUCAUCUCCAAUUACUCUCAUUCUACAUUUUCUUUUUUUUCCCACAGCACUCAUCAGAGUUAACAUACUUCAAAAUUUUCUUAUUUCUUAUCCUUAUAAUCUGUUGUCUGUCUUCCCCUGCUAGAAAGUAAGCUCCAGGAGGGCAGGGCCCCUUUAGUCUGUUCUGUUUCCUGACACGUUCCCAGCUGCCUCGCCUCACGAACAGUUGUGUCAAUGAACACUUGUAGAAGGAAUGCAUGAGCGAAUGAAUGGAUGGAGUCAGGUAUGAGAAAGAACAAAGCAGAGUCUGCGGUGGGGGCUGUGACUUACUGCAUCCAGGCAGGGGGAUUGAUGUCCCCAUUUUCUAGAUGCAGAGCCCUAGGCGCAGAGAAGGAAAGCCAGCUACCCUGGGUCACCAGCUGGUGUGGACCAGCACCGGGAUUCAAACCCAGCUUUGCCCCGCAACAAAGCCUGAGUUCUGUGCCCACCUGGAUGCAACUGUGGUCACGUGUGCAAGUCGAAAAGACCAUUUCCAGCCUCCCUGGUAUUCUCCGUCCAAGUUAUCACCAUCACUCACCGCAGCCUGGACGACUGCAGUGCCUUCUUCCCUUGUCUCGGCCUGCCACCCCUGUCCUGCCACCACUUUAAGGUCUGCUUUCCCAAGAGUCAGAUUUUUCAAAAAGAAAUUCAGAUCACGCCAACGCCCGGCUUAAAAAUCCUAAGGUCACAUCCCACAUGAGUCGAGGGGAUCCGAACUCCCAACCCUGGUCUGUGAGGCCCCCUACUGUAGACGAUGCCCGUGCCCACCCAGAUUUCCUGGGCCAGGCUGCUGUGCCCAUCCCCAGCCGCUGUGAGUGUCACUUGCUCUCGGAUGCCCCCUGCUCUGAAGAAUCGCCCUCCCCUAAAAGGAGGACUUCUGGGAAGAGCCUGUGGCCAACUGCUAGGAAGGUCUAAGGUAGGACUAACCCUGCCCCGUUAGUCACACUCCAGCGCUGCCUGAGGGGUCAGGCUGGAAGCAAACUCUAGUGGGGACCAGGUUCAUGGACCUUCUCUGUAAGCCAUCUGUUGCCCCCUUGCCCUUGCAGCUUCCCCCUUGGCAACUCAUUGUCUCCAGCAUCCUUAUCUCAGGCUCCAAGUCUAUGAAACCCCAACUAAGACACUGCAUGGCCUGCCCAGACCUACUGCUUUCGCUCUGGUCCAUCUGUUCUUGCUCCUCCAGUGCCCUGAGGUCCAUCGCUGCCUUAGCGUACUUCCAAGUCCCGGCUCUUCUCUCCGCCACGUUUCUCCCUAUCAUCCACGGCUUCCUUUCCAUCUUUCCAUCCUCCACUCAAAUAACCCUCCCCGUCACUCGCUCCUGCAUCCACCAUCCCGUUUUCUUCCUGGCACUGUCUCCAUCUGAAACAAUCUGCCUUACUUACUGUCUGUCUCCCCAUCUACAAUGUCAGCUCCCAGAAGGCACCACGGGUCGGUACACGGUCAAGGGCCCAUGGUGUUUUUUGGUCCUUUUAGGGCUGGACCCAAGACAUAUGGAGGUCCCCAGGCUAGGGGUCCAAUUGGAGCUGCAGCUGCCAGCCUACACCUCAGCUACAGCCACAGCAACACCAGAUCUGAGCCGA